rnacentral:rRNA from 1 species
UACAGAGGUCUCAAGCGUUGUUCGGAUUCAUUGGGCGUAAAGGGUGCGUAGGCGGCGGGGCAAGUCAGGUGUGAAAUCUCGGGGCUCAACCCCGAAACUGCACUUGAUACUGCCUUGCUCGAGUACUGGAGAGGAGACUGGAAUUUACGGUGUAGCAGUGAAAUGCGUAGAUAUCGUAAGGAAGACCAGUGGCGAAGGCGAGUCUCUGGACAGUUACUGACGCUGAGGCACGAAGGCCAGGGGAGCAAACGGG